rnacentral:rRNA from 1 species
UCGUCGUAUGUUAUAUGUGUCAUACGAGACUGCCGGUAAAAAGACCGGAGGAAGGUGAGGAUGAUGUCAAGUCAGCAUGACCUUUAUAUCCAGGCUACACACACGCUACAAUGGUCUGUACAAUGGGUAGCCAAGCCGCGAGGCGGAGCCAAUCCUGAAAGCAGGCCUCAGUUCAGAUUGCAGUCUGCAACUCGACUGCAUGAAGCCGGAGUUGCUAGUAACUGCAGGUCAGCAAUACUGCGGUGAAUACGUUCCCGGGUCUU